AGAGGUGGUGGGAGCAGUGGGCUCUGCCUGUCCCCACCCCCACCUGGGGCCUCAUACCAUCCCACUAUCAUGGGUAGUGCCUACCACUGGGAGGCCCGGCGCCGGCAGAUGGCUUUGGACCGAAGGAGAUGGCUGAUGGCCCAGCAGCAGCAGGAGCUGCAGCAGAAAGAACAGGAACUGAAGAAUCACCAGGAGGAAGAACAACAAUCGGAGGAAAAACUCCAGCCACAUAAGAAGUUAAAUGUGCCGCAACCACCAGUGGCGAAAUUGUGGACAUCACAGGAGCAACCACAGCCAUCACAGCAG
rnacentral:lncRNA from 1 species